rnacentral:siRNA from 1 species
AACUAAGGGCAUCUCCAACGC